GAUGAACGCUGGCGGCGUGCCUAAUACAUGCAAGUCGAGCGAACAGACGAGGCGCUUGCUCCUCUGACGUUAGCGGCGGACGGGUGAGUAACACGUGGAUAACCUACCUAUAAGACUGGGAUAACUUCGGGAAACCGGAGCUAAUACCGGAUAAUAUAUUGAACCGCAUGGUUCAAUAGUGAAAGACGGUUUUGCUGUCACUUAUAGAUGGAUCCGCGCCGCAUUAGCUAGUUGGUAAGGUAACGGCUUACCAAGGCGACGAUGCGUAGCCGACCUGAGAGGGUGAUCGGCCACACUGGAACUGAGACACGGUCCAGACUCCUACGGGAGGCAGCAGUAGGGAAUCUUCCGCAAUGGGCGAAAGCCUGACGGAGCAACGCCGCGUGAGUGAUGAAGGUCUUCGGAUCGUAAAACUCUGUUAGUAGGGAAGAACAAAUGUGUAAGUAACUAUGCACGUCUUGACGGUACCUAAUCAGAAAGCCACGGCUAACUACGUG
rnacentral:rRNA from 1 species